UGCACAAUUUAAAGCGAUAAACAAAAAACGUACCGAUUUAGCUUUAAUCGGUGGGUGUGAAACGGUUUAUAUUAUCAUUAUCGUACAUAUUAACUUACAAAUCCUGUCAGUAAUGACAACUACGUUGUUAUUGCGCGUAAUUUUUUAUUUAUCAUUUGAGUCAAUAAAAUUCGGCGAAAAUUCAAUGUAUCUACAGGUUAUGUGUACAUCACUCUUGACAAUGGAAACACACCAACAGUUCAGACAUUUUUCCCUGUAGAUGGCCUCAUCCUGUUCUGUAAUACAUAGAAUGGUAGCAUUCGCAAAUGCCUCUGUGUAUUAAUUAUGUGGGUUUGCCUGGAUAUUUCUUAAUGCCAAUGAAGGAGGAUUUAAUUUUUUGUGAACAUACUUGGAACAUUUAACUAUACAUUUAUCCUACUCAAUGUAGCCUCCAUCAGCUGUGAUGCAUCUGGCCCAACAUUCUUUCCAUGAUGUAAAUGCACUUUGGUAAAAUCCUGGGGAUUGGCUUUUACAGUAUCGCUUGACACAGGAAAUAAGGUCUUUCUCUCAAUCAAAUGUUUAUCACACAGGUGGGCCUUCAGAUGACCAAAGAGGUAAAAAUCAGAUGGAGCCAAGUCCGGACUGUAGAGAGGAUGGGGUUUGGCGUUGUCACGGUGCAGUCUGAUGAGCUGACCCUGAAGCUGUGGUCUGUGGGUCUUAAUGGCACGUCACAGCUUGUCCAGUGACAAACAGUAAUGGUCCUGGUUAAUUGUGGAGCCAGAUUACAAAAAGUCAAUGAAAAUGACACCACACUGAUCCUAGAAGGAGGAGGCCAUCACCUUUCGGCUUGCUGUUCAUGAAAGUCUUCAUUUCUUCUUCCGAGGGGAACCUGGAUGACGCCACUCCAUGGAUUGGGUUUUGCUCUCAGGUUUGGACAAAAACAACCAUGUUUCAUCCUGGGUAAUGAUGCCAUCAAAACAUCGCCAGUCUUGAAGAGGAACUCCAUCAUUGACCAUUGUUGCAACCUGACAAUCACUUCAUGGCCCGUUGUGGCUUACCUGUAAAUAAAAGAAAAUACUUUUGUAUACCAACUUAUAGCUAAAUGUUCCAAGUGUGUUCACAAAAAAUUUCAUUCUCUUGCUGCCAAAAAUAAAAAAAAUUAGAGACGACUGUGCAAAACUUUUUGAAUGUCCUUUGUACUAGAGGCACUGAGUCAUCAAUUGGAAUUUAAACAAGAUGGAAAACUCUGAUAGCUUUAAGACGAAAUUUUGUUUAAGUUUGGGGGGGGGGGGGGAGGAGAGAUCCACCAUCCCUGCUCUACAUGUAAUUUGACAUGAUCACAAAUAAUCUGUCGGUAUUGAAUGACUCGUGAAUAAAGUAGCAAGGGCACAGAGUGAUCUGAACUGGAAUCAGUAGCCAUGAUGUGCACUGUUUGUCAUGCUUGCUUAGUUUGUCACUAAUAAAUCAAGUCUUGUCAUUGGUUAACAUGGAAUGAGUGAAGCACAGUUCACAGGGUAAACAUUCCUAUCUGAUAUUAAAAUUCAUGUCUGGUGAAUAUAUAAGCAAGUUAAGUGCCCUACUGUUUCUUCCUUUGUCCAUUUUAUGAGAAAGAACAUUUCAAAGACUGGAAGCUGACAAACAUUGUAUCUCCCAUCUUACAGUCACUUGGAUGAAUAGUAAGGGCCAGCUCUUGUGGUG